GCGGCAGGCUUAACACAUGCAAGUCGAGGGGCAGCGGGGAGGAAGCUUGCUUUCUCCGCCGGCGACCGGCGCACGGGUGAGUAACACGUAUGCAACCUGCCCCUGUCAGGGGGACAACCCGCCGAAAGGCGGGCUAAACCCGCGUACAUGCCACCGGGGCAUCCCGGAGGCAGGAAAGGCUUCGGCCGGACAGGGAUGGGCAUGCGGCGCAUUAGGCAGUAGGCGGGGUAACGGCCCACCUAACCGACGAUGCGUAGGGGUUCUGAGAGGAAGGUCCCCCACACUGGUACUGAGACACGGACCAGACUCCUACGGGAGGCAGCAGUGAGGAAUAUUGGUCAAUGGUCGGGAGACUGAACCAGCCAAGCCGCGUGAGGGAGGAAGGUACAGAGUAUCGUAAACCUCUUUUGUCAGGGAACAAAGGCGGGGACGUGUCCCCGGAUGAGUGUACCUGAAGAAAAAGCAUCGGCUAACUCCGUGCCAGCAGCCGCGGUAAUACGGAGGAUGCGAGCGUUAUCCGGAUUUAUUGGGUUUAAAGGGUGCGCAGGCGGUCUGUUAAGUCAGCGGUCAAAGCCCGGGGCUCAACCCCGGCCCGCCGUUGAAACUGGCAGUCUCGAGUUGGAGAGAAGUAUGCGGAAUGCGCGGUGUAGCGGUGAAAUGCAUAGAUAUCGCGCAGAACUCCGAUUACGAAGGCAGCAUGCCGGCUCCACACUGACGCUGAGGCACGAAAGCGUGGGUAUCGAACAGGAUUUAGAUACCCUGGUAGUCCACGCAGUAAACGAUGAAUGCUGGCUGUCCGGGGGGAUUGACCCCUGGGUGGCGAAGCGAAAGCGAUAAGCAUUCCACCUGGGGAGUACGCCGGCAACGGUGAAACUCAAAGGAAUUGACGGGGGCCCGCACAAGCGGAGGAACAUGUGGUUUAAUUCGAUGAUACGCGAGGAACCUUACCCGGGCUCAAACGGGGAGUGACUCAGGCAGAGACGCCUGUUUCCCACGGGACACUCCCCGAGGUGCUGCAUGGUUGUCGUCAGCUCGUGCCGUGAGGUGUCGGCUUAAGUGCCAUAACGAGCGCAACCCCCGCGUGCAGUUGCUAACAGAUAACGCUGAGGACUCUGCACGGACUGCCGGCGCAAGCCGCGAGGAAGGCGGGGAUGACGUCAAAUCAGCACGGCCCUUACGUCCGGGGCGACACACGUGUUACAAUGGGUGGUACAGCGGGAAGCCAGGCGGCGACGCCGAGCGGAACCCGAAAUCCACUCUCAGUUCGGAUCGGAGUCUGCAACCCGACUCCGUGAAGCUGGAUUCGCUAGUAAUCGCGCAUCAGCCAUGGCGCGGUGAAUACGUUCCCGGGCCUUGCACACACCGCCCGUCA
rnacentral:rRNA from 1 species